CCUUGGCCUGGACAACACUCUCAUGCUCGGCCUAAACAGGAAUCAACUUGUCAAUCAAAACAACAAUGGGUUUGAUGGGCUGUCAAUCUAAGAAAAAAUACCCAAGCGAAUUUCACAUAGGACAUCUGUCAAUCAGCGUGCGCAUGUGGUCCUGAACUUCACACAGUUUCUCGUCCAAGAUGUUAUCAAGCUCUGGAAUACUGCGAUCACUGCGGCAAACAAACAAACCGGUCAACAUAACAUAUCAGCUUCCUAACAUAUCCGAACAACAACAAUAUGUAGUACACUAAAACUAUGUUGAUUUCCUUUUCACCCCGUAUAUUUGAACUGAACCCUGACCAACAACAACACCCAGGCAACACUCAGGCAACAUCCAGGCACAUAGGUAGACGCUAGGAUUGCGCGAAUCUCGAGAAAACGGGGUAUUUGGGUAUCGAAAGAUAAAACACUAUCAGACCCCCCUCCGUAUAGGAUAACACAGGAUACCCACGCUUGUGCAAGUGGCACAGCCUCGGCGGAUACCGGGAAGUUUCGGUGCUUGGUGUUCAUGCGAGCCUGUGGUGGGUGGGCAAGGGGCGAGGGUCUGCCUGGAUUUUCAAGGUGUGCAGCUACGAGAUCCUAUAACAGAAAGACACGUAAAACCGUAAACAACGUGAAACGUGACGACGUGGACGCGUGAAGCGUGACAUUGUUAUGUACUAAAGAUGACACCCU